CGGUCCAGACUCCUACGGGAGGCAGCAGUAGGGAAUCUUCCGCAAUGGGCGAAAGCCUGACGGAGCACGCCGCGUGAGUGAUGAAGGGUUUCGGCUCGUAAAACUCUGUUAUUAGGGAAGAACAAACGUGUAAGUAACUGUGCACGUCUUGACGGUACCUAAUCAAAAAGCCACGGCUAACUACGUGCCAGCAGCCGCGGUAA
rnacentral:rRNA from 1 species